GACGAACGCUGGCGGCGUGCCUAAUACAUGCAAGUUGAGCGCUGAAGGUUGGUACUUGUACCAACUGGAUGAGCAGCGAACGGGUGAGUAACGCGUGGGGAAUCUGCCUUUGAGCGGGGGACAACAUUUGGAAACGAAUGCUAAUACCGCAUAAAAACUUUAAACACAAGUUUUAAGUUUGAAAGAUGCAAUUGCAUCACUCAAAGAUGAUCCCGCGUUGUAUUAGCUAGUUGGUGAGGUAAAGGCUCACCAAGGCGAUGAUACAUAGCCGACCUGAGAGGGUGAUCGGCCCCAUUGGGACUGAGACACGGCCCAAACUCCUUCGGGAGGCAGCAGUAGGGAAUCUUCGGCAAUGGACGAAAGUCUGACCGAGCAACGCCGCGUGAGUGAAGAAGGUUUUCGGAUCGUAAAACUCUGUUGGUAGAGAAGAACGUUGGUGAGAGUGGAAAGCUCAUCAAGUGACGGUAACUACCCAGAAAGGGACGGCUAACUACGUG
rnacentral:rRNA from 1 species